rnacentral:misc_RNA from 1 species
GAAAUGCGAUAAGUAGUGUGAAUUGCAGAAUUCAGUGAAUUAUCGAAUCUUUGAACGCACAUUGCGCCCUUUGGUAUUCCUUAGGGCAUGCCUGUUCGAGCGUUAUUUAAACCUUUAAGCCCUGCUUGGUGUUGGGUGCCUGUCCCGCCCCCGCGCGUGGACUUACCUCAAAUCCAUUAGCGGCCCCUACGUUGGCUACGAGCGCAGCAGAAACGCGAACUCGUAGGCCUGACGGGGCGGCUCCUAGAAGCCACAUUCACUAUUUUGACCUUGGAUUAGGUAGGGAUACCCGCUGAACUUAA